AGUGAACGCUGGCGGUAGGCCUAACACAUGCCAGUCGAACGGCAGCACAGUAAGAGCUUGCUCUUACGGGUGGCGAGUGGCGGACGGGUGAGGAAUACAUCGGAAUCUACUUUUUCGUGGGGGAUAACGUAGGUAAACUUACGCUAAUACCGCAUACGCCCUACGGGUGAAAGCAGUGGAUCUUCGGACCUUGCGCGAUUGAAUGAGCCGAUGUCGGAUUAGCUAGUUGGCGGGGUAAAGGCCCACCCAGGCGACGAUCCGUAGCUGGUCUGAGAGGAUGAUCAGCGACACUGGAACUGAGACACGGUCCAGACUCCUGAGGGAGGCAGCAGUGGGGAAUAUUGGACAAUGGGCGCAAGCCUGAUACAGCCAGACCGCGUGGGUGAAGAAGGCCUUCGGGUUGUAAAGCCCUUUUGUUGGGAAAGAAAAGCAGCAGGUUAAUACCCAGCUGUUCUGACGGUACCCAAAGAAUAAGCACCGGCUAACUUCGUG
rnacentral:rRNA from 1 species